AUGGAUAUCAGACCAAAUCAUACAAUUUACAUCAACAGUAUGAAUGACAAAAUUAAAAAAGAAGAGUUGAAGAGAUCCCUGUAUGCCCUGUUUUCUCAGUUUGGCCACAUUGUAGAUACUGUAGCUUUAAAGACCAUGAAGAUGAGGGGGCAAGCCUUUGUUAUUUUUAAGGAACUGGGCUCAUCCACAAAUGCCUUGAGACAGUUAUAAGGAUUUCCAUUUUAUGGUAAACCAAUGCGAAUCCAGUAUGCAAAAGCAGAUUUGGAUAUAAUAUCUAAAAUGCGUGGCACUUUUGCUGACAAAGAAAAGAAGAAGGAAAAGAAAAAAGCGAAAACUGUGGAACAGACUGCGACCACUGCAAACAAAAAGCCUGGUCAGGGAACACCAAAUGCAGCAAAUACCCAAGGAAAUUCAACACCAAAUCCUCAGGUCCCUGAUUACCCUCCAAACUAUAUUUUAUUCCUCAAUAAUUUACCAGAAGAGACUAAUGAGAUGAUGUUAUCCAUGCUGUUUAAUCAGUUUCCUGGCUUCAAGGAAGUACGUUUGGUACCUGGGAGGCAUGACAUUGCUUUUGUUGAAUUUGAAAAUGAUGGACAGGCUGGAGCUGCCAGGGAUGCUUUACAGGGAUUGAAAAUCACACCGUCACAUGCCAUGAAGAUCACCUUGCCAAGAAAUAACAUAAGGGAGAGUUGUCUUUAA